AUUGAACGCUGGCGGCAGGCCUAACACAUGCAAGUCGAGCGAGCGGCGGACGGGUGAGUAAUGUAUGGGGACUGCCCGAUAGAGGGGGAUAACUACUGGAAACGGUGGCUAAUACCGCAUACUAUCGGAUAACCCAUAUGGGAUUAGCUAGUAGGUGGGGUAAAGGCUCACCUAGGCGACGAUCUCUAGCUGGUCGGAGAGGAUGAACAGCCACACUGGAACUGAGAGAGGGCCCAUACUCCACCGGAGGCAGCAGUGGGGAAUAUUGCAAAAUUGGAACAAGCCUGAUGCAGCCAUGCCGCGUGUAUGAAGAAGGCCUUUGGGUUGUAAAGUACUUUCAGCGGGAAGGCGUUACCCGCAGAAGAAGCACCGGCUAACUCAGUGCCAGCAGCCGCGGUAAUUC
rnacentral:rRNA from 1 species